GGCCCAAUAGCACAGUUGGUUUGUGCGCUUGCUGUAAAUGAUUCGAAAGAGAAUAUCUUUGUAAGCAGGAGGUCCCUCGUUCGAUCCGGGGUUGGGCCA